rnacentral:lncRNA from 1 species
AAACCUUUACAAUGUACUUUUAGAUAAGAAAAAGGGAAAAUAACAUCUUGGGUAAUGUGAUCAGCAUUACCUCCUUAGAAAGCUUAUAUCUAAAACCUUGUCCUCAGUCAUCUGAGAAUGCAAAUGUGAACUCCUGUCUCCUUCAGUGAGAUCAUGUAUUUUCAUUAAAUGCAGUAUCAAAACCAUUUACUUAAUUCUCUAAUUUGUGUACAUGUAUUAAGUAUCCAAUGUAUGUUACAAUGUGUUACAUAAACAUGCAUGUCUCCAUAAGUGUUAGAACAGCAACAUCCGUGACGUAUGUAGGAGUUACUAGAGUACUCUGGUAGCACAGAAAGGAAACUUCAUUUUUCAGGACCAUGUGCCCUCCCUCAGCCUGUGAUGCCACUGACACUUGUUAGACUUCCCAGGAGAAAGGCCACAGAUGACGUGGCUGUACUCCUCUUGCCUUUCCCGGGGAGUUGACUGCUGGCACUCAGUUCAUACACAAGCCUGGGGCUUUACUUCCUGAAGGCUUUUUGAAUAUGAAAAUGGUUCUUCCUGUCAGAAAGAUUAGAGGCCCCAGAGUAUUGUGUUUGUAAUUUUAAAUUGAAUAAUGUCAGUAAGGAUGGCAUUUAUGAAAGCUUAGGUCUAUAUAUGCUGGACUUUUUUUUUUUUUUUUCUCCUGUUUUUUCGAGACAGGGUUUCUCUGUAUAGCCCUGGCUGUCCUGGAACUCACUUUGUAGACCAGGCUGGCCUCGAACUCAGAAAUCCACCUGCCUCUGCCUCGCAAGUGCUGGGAUUAAAGGCGUGCGCCAGCUAUGCUGGACUUAAAUUAGAUGGCUUCAUGAAAACUUCAGACAGUUUUUGGUUUUCCAUUGAAUUGUACUUUACUAUGUUUACAUUUUUAAAAACUAUACUGUUAUCUUCAGUGAAACUCUGCUUCCAUUAAGUCAGGAAGACCGGGGAUCCAGAGAAGAGAUAUUUAACCACUGUCAUAAACAGAAGUUAGUAACAUUUUGAAAGUCAAUUUGAUUUUUUUUCCUUUCUUUAAAAUAUAAUCUGUUUCAGACCUAACUGUGUACGAGGGCUGUUAGCACACUUGAAGCAGAAGUUUAAGGUUGUCAAGUUCAUUUUGGCUGUUCCUUUUCCUAGAGUCUUUCAAAGUUGCUGAGGAAAAAGUCCUACGCGUAGCACCGAUUUAAUCAAAGUGUAGUUUAAUAGAAAACAUGUGUUUGAUUCUUGGCUACAAAGCUGAACACUGAAAAACAUGACAUUUGAACUUGUUAAAUCUCCAUGUGAUAAUUUUUAUAAGCUUUAUUUGGAUUUUCAAAUUUUUAUUUUCAAAGAAAAAUGGACUUCAGGGCCUUUUUCUGUCUGUGUAAUGUAAUUACAGAGAAUAGGUUCAUAGUAGAGAAUAUGGCUAGAUUUUUCAAAGGCUUUUGACUCCUAUUCUGAGUUACUGAUAUAACAAGGGGUUUAGCAUACUGCACUUGUGUUUCUUUUCUAGCUGGAUAGAUGUAACUUCUGUAGGAAUGACAGUGAGGGCUAGUAAGGUGGCUCAACAGGUAAAGGUGCCUGCUGCACAAGCCCCAGAGCCCAGAGAGCAGAAGGAGAGAUCUGACUGUCAUGAGUCCCCUUGAUCUCCACAAGGAUGCUGUAGCACUCAUGUACAUAUACAUGAAUUUAAUUAAUAAUAAUAAAUUAACAUUUAAAAAGAAGUGCAGUAAUAAUGAGAUGGUUCAGUUAGACCAGAACUGGAAGCAGAAUGUUCUUAACAAAAAAAAGUAUUUAUACUAUAUAGAUAGGAAUGGUUGGGUUUAGCUAACUAAGGUUUGACUUUUUCCUUCAACUCUCUCUUUUGGGAAAUAGGUCAUAGCAAAUGACAGAAGUCCUUUGGUGGGUAAAAUCCACUGGGAGAAAAUGGUGAAAAAAGUGUCAAGAUUUGGAAUACGGACAGGCACUUUCAACUGUUCCAGUGAUCCCAGGUAAGGGGAUUAAGAAAUUCCGAGUUUGAACCCUGACCAGAGUCCUUUUUGCUUAAUAAAGCCUGCCUGAAGUGAACUGUUUAGUAUACUGCUAGUUACCCAGAUGUUUGUAGCUUGUAUAAACUGGUGUUUGUUGACUUUCUGAGAGAUCCCUUAAAAUUGUCUGUAGUCCUUUGCUUCAGUAUUCUCCAAAUGGCUGUGGAUGACCACUGUUCUCAUUUGUAGCUCAAACUGGCUUAUACCCUUCCAUCAGUCAAGGGCUUGGAUUACAGGCAUAUACAACCACUUCCGUACUUCUGACCUUCAGUUUGCAUUUCUGUAGUCACUUUCUAUCUACUCCACAACCAGCCCUAAGUAUGCCUUCUCCCUAAUAUCAAGUCAGGUUUAUCAUUGUAUUUAGUCAGACAUACCCUGUCUACCGUUUCUACCCUUCACUAUUUUGUUUUUCUUCACUUUUUUUUUUUUAAAGAUGGGGUUGUUUGGUUUGUCAUUGACUUCGGUAUUCAGUCUAUCAUUACAUUAAUUCUUAUCGUAUUUCAUUUUUGAUUAAAUUUAGAUUUUGUGUGUGUGUAUGUGUGUGUGUGUAGAGGAGUAUAUAUGCUCAUCUGAGUGCAGGUGCCAUUGAAGUCCAGAAGAUGGUGUAGGAUACCUUGGAUCUGGAGUCAUAGGCAGCUAUGAGCCUCCCAGUGUAAACACUGAUUUAAAAAAAAAAAUCAACAUUUUUAUAUAGCCAAAUGAACUGAUGACAAAGCUGGGUAAAAUGGUAUAUGCCUGUAUUCCCAGUGGCAGGCAGAAUGGGAGGUCUCAAAUUCUAAGCCAAUCUAUAUAAUGAAACGCUAGCACAAAACAAAGCUCUGAAAAAUGUUUUCUUGAUAGUAUCAUUGAAUUUAUUCUGACCUUUAAAGUGUUCUUUUUGAAUUGGCAGUAAAAGAUUUUAUGUUGAUACAUGGUAAUAUAAAUUUUUUAAAAACAAUAUAUGCAUGUAGUCUUGUAUUCAUUGAAGAUACUUUAGAAUAAUAUUUAGAGAAAUAUAUAUUAGUAACCCAGUAUUUAAUAAGCAUUAGAGAUUUUUUCCCCAAACAUGGAAAACAUUAUUUAAUUUGACAAUUAUAACAGGAAAUGUUCUUUUGGGUAGUCUCAAGUUCUUUAGAAUAACAAGACUUAAAAAUACCAGUUCUGAACUGAACAGAAAACAUAAAAGGAGGAAAUGAGAAUAUUAAAGCUUACCUGUUCUACAAAGCAAGAUUUCGUGUCAUAAAGAUGUCAUUUGAUUUAUGACACAACUCAGAAGCCAGUGUAGUUAUAAG